rnacentral:rRNA from 1 species
AGAGAUCAUGGCUCAGAGCGAACGUUAGCGGCGCGCCUAACACGUGCAAGUCGCACGAGAAAGGGCUUCGGCCCCGGUACAGUGGCGCACGGGUGAGUAACACGUGGGCAACCUUCCCUCGAGUGGUGGAUAACCUUCCGAAAGGAGGGCUAAUACAGCAUAAGACCACGGAUCUCCGGAUCUGAGGUCAAAGCCGGCCUCUAUAUAUAAGCUGGCGCUUGAGGAUGGGUCCGCGUCCCAUCAGCUAGUUGGUGAGGUAAUGGCUCACCAAGGCGACGACGGGUAGCUGGUCUGAGAGGAUGGCCAGCCACACUGGAACUGAGACACGGUCCAGACUCCUACGGGAGGCAGCAGUGGGGAAUCUUGCGCAAUGGACGAAAGUCUGACGCAGCGACGCCGCGUGGGCGACGAAGGCCUUCGGGUUGUAAAGCCCUGUGGGGAGGGACGAACGUUCACUGGGCUAACAUCCCGGUGAAGUGACGGUACCUCCUUAGCAAGCACCGGCUAACUCUGUGCCAGCAGCCGCGGUAAGACAGAGGGUGCAAACGUUGCUCGGAAUUACUGGGCGUAAAGCGCGUGUAGGCGGUUCCGCCAGUCUGGUGUGAAAGCCCAGGGCUCAACCCUGGAAGCGCAUUGGAUACUACGGAGCUUGAGUCCUGAAGAGGAGAGCGGAAUUCCCGGUGUAGAGGUGAAAUUCGUAGAUAUCGGGAGGAACACCAGUGGCCGAAGGCGGCUCUCUGGACAGGUACUGACGCUGAGACGCGAAAGCGUGGGUAGCAAACAGGAUUAGAUACCCUGGUAGUCCACGCUGUAAA